GAGUUACACAUGGAAUUAACAAAUGUACUGUCAAUAACACAAUAGUUACUUGGCUCAUCUCGCUCUAGUGUCUCCUUGUGGCGCCUGCAGGCUUGAACUCGGUCGUCAGGUGAACGACAUAUUGUUGCGGCUUGCUUCCGGGUUAAGCGGGCGGGUGUGAAGAAGUUCGGUUUGGUCAUGUUUCAGAGGAGUUGACUUUCGCCUCACCCAGAGAUGAAACAAGAUCGAAAUUGGGAAGAAAAAACGGGGAUAUAAAGACUACGCUGUAUCAACAAAAAACGGAUUGCAACUUGCAAAACAUCAGGAAGAACAUUACAGACGGAGGCGCAACAACUUCGUUCGACAUUUGAAGCUGCACAAAGAACGUUUUUCCUUUUUUAGAAGAGAGCGGACUGGAUAUGGUGCAAAAUUCUUCAAAUAGGUCGGUCCCUGGGAUCGGUCUGGCGAAUACAGUUCGCUUUGCAUGGAAGGACAAGGAGACUGAGACAUUCGGACGUGAACCGUUUGGAAGGACUAUCUUGAUGUGGCUCCUUAAACUGACAGGGAAGGAUGUGUUUUGCCUCCAAGGUUACCUGUUGGAGGGAACUUAUGAUGUGGCUUUACACUCAGAAGAAAAACACAACGAGAUCCUGAAAAAGGUGAGAGAAGUGGGAGGUGCGAGGUCGAUGUGCCACUACGAGGUAACCAGCUUGGCAAAAAACUAUUUCAGGAUUGUAACUGUGAACAUUUAUAACCCAUACGUCAAGGACGAGGACGUGAGGGCCUUUCUGGCGAGAUACAUGGAUGACAUCUCCUCAGCAAGGCACCUCAAGGACUCCCUGGGUUUUUGGAACGGGAGGUGAGACUUCCAGGCCCUCCUCAGGGAGGACCCAAAGGGACUGGGUGGCUACCUUCAUCCUCCAGCUAUGUUCUCCCUGGGGGCUGACAGGGGGACGUUGUUUUAUGCACGUCAGCCCCUGUUUUGUAGGCGUUGUAUGGCCUACGGGCACAUACUAGUCUCGUGCAGCACAAGAAAGUGCAGAUUUUGUGGAUCUGGGGAGCACGAGGCAAAGGACUGUGACGAGCUCAAGGUGUGCCACGGGUGUGGCUCGUCAGCACACCUGUGGCAGGAAUGCCCGGCUUGUCAGAGGUCAUAUGUGUCUGCUGUUGGGGGGGAGCAGGAGCGGGGGAUGGGGGAGGAAGGGGAGGAGGCCCAGACCAAGAACCGAGCACAGGCCCAGAGGGGAUGGCCUCACGGAAGGUGGAGGAGCAAAGAGCGGCAGCAGGAGGAGAGGGGGACAGAGAAGGCACGGGAGCAGCAGAACCGGGAGGAGAGGAGGGGAAAAGAGGCGGAAGGAAUCAAGCGAGUGGAGGUGCCAGAGAGAGCAGCAAAGGCGGUAGAGGUGGUGGAGAAGGAGUCGGUGGCAGGACCAGUGGAGGAAGAGGGAGUGGGGGGACAGCAGAAUGCCGAGUGUCCUCGUGGAAGUGAUGGGGGAAUGGUGGGGGUGGUGUCUUCCUGUUACCACCAUCGUCAAAGAAGAGAGGGAAGAGGAAGGGGCUCUUGACAGACAGCGAGAGGGAAGGGGGCAUGGAGGGGGUGGCCAAUCGAGUGAUGGGGGUGGGAGAAACUUCUGUGUCCUCGCUGGCUUCCCCAGCCCCUCAACUCCUGGAGGAGCUUGAUACACCAAGCACGGCUCAGGGCUGGUCAACUGAGGCAGGGGGUUAGUAGUUGGGUGAUGGUUGUUUUUGAAUUUAUUUUAUAUAUUUUUUUAAUGGAGCCUACUAUAACUUUUGUUAGUUUAAAUGUAAGCGUUUAAGAGAUUUUGUUAAGAGGGCGGUUUUUAGUUAUUUAGAGGGUGUGGGUUUUGACUUGUUUUUUAAAGGGGGUUCACCUAAAGGGGGUUCACCUGGGAUGUUAAUAGAUUUAGGAGGGAGUGGGACAAGGGGGAUUCGGUUUGGGGUAUACGGGGGUUGCACUCAUCAGGGGUAGGGAUUUUAUGUGGGCACAGGGAGGUAAAGGUUGAGGGUUAAUUUGUGGUUUUGCAGGGGAGGGUUUUGGUUGUGGAUGUCACCUUAAGGGAUUGCAGAUAUAGAUUAGUGGGGGUGUACGGGCCACAGGUGGCGGCAGACAGGAAGGAGGUGGUGGAGAUGGCGCCCCUGUGCGCCACAAAUAGGCAAGUGGUGAUAGGGGGGGAUUUUAAUAUAGAUUUAGGGGUAGGGGGGAUAGUGCUUGCCAUGGUAUGGUUGGAGAACUGCAUACUACUCCGACAAUGGCUGGUUCCACUUGGUGCAACUCCCGGGGGGUUGCGUGGAGGCUUGACUAUAUUUUUCUGUCUAGGUCCUUGGGUCAGUUGUCUAGGCAGCUGUUGCCUGUUUUCUUUUCGGAUCAUGACGGGGUGCUCCUGCAGGUGAGAUCACCAGUCUGCCUCUUUGGUAGGGGGUACUGGAAAUGAGAUCGGGAUGUGCUGGAUUAGCUUUCAUUGAAGCCUUUACUGGUUUGUCUCGUGGGAUUGAAGGCCUCUGGUCCAUGUGUGAGGGGAUGUUAGAGUGGUGGGUUGUAGGUUGUAGUGGGUAUCCCGGUAGUGGUCUGGGAGGGAGUUCAGGCGCGGGCUCUGGACAACAAGCUCAAGGACCUGAAUUGGUUGAGCCUCCAUAAGUGCUUGCCGGUACGUUCCAUCAUGUACAGGCAUAGCUUGGCACCAUCCCCCACAUGUCCAAGACCAUCUUGUGGCGGGGAGGAGACACCUUUUGGGACUGUGCCUUUGCCGGAGUAGUAUGGGCUAGGGCACGGCUGUUGUUAGGUGGGUGAAAGGGCAUUUUGUUUUGUUUGGGCUAGGGUAGAGAGAGGUGUAGGGAGAGUGAGGGGGACGGUCAGGGACAGGUUUCUGCUCUGACUUCUCAUAAGCCUCUUUAAAUGGGGGCUGUGGGAAGCCAGGUAGGACAUGGUAAAGACAGGGAGAGAUUGGGGGGUGGAGGGGAUAGUGAGGAGGUUGGAAGGAAAUUUGGGAGGAGAGGAAGUUGGGGCAGCAUGCUGCCUGUGAGAGGUGGAAGGGAGGUUUAGGGCUGGGGUUAAUUUAGAUGAUUUAAGGGGAUAGAUUAGGGACGGGGACAUGUAGUUUGUAGGCAUGAAGGGGAGGGAAGAUUCUCCCCUGAGUUUUUUGUUAUUGGGUUUUUGUUUCGUUUUUAAUUAAAAAAUGCCUAUAUUUGAUUUUGUUUGGAAUAUUGAUGGUUUGUUUUGUAUGAAUGGCAUUGUAAUAACUUAUAUAUAAAUAAAAUUCUUCCACUUUGUCAAUAAAGUGCAUGGUAAGUUUAGUAUUACUUUUCAACCAACCCAGUGCAUAUGUUGAAAAUGAAAAAUGUUGAAAUCAACAAUCCGGCAAAGGAUUCAACUACUGAAACAAACGAUUGGAUCAAACAGAUCAAUCCCACUGGACAUUGGGUUUGAUUCAGACCCUGCCAGCAUGACAAGAGAUGUAACUUAUAACCACUAAACCACCCCAGACCUUUCAUGCCUGACUAAAAACAACUAAGUAUUAGAUUUACUGCCAUGGUCUAGUAUGUCACUGCAUCAGACACCAUUCACAAUGCUGGUACGAGGUACGAGUAAAAUAUGACAUAUUAUUUCCUAACCAUUCACAAUGCUGGCUGAGGUACGAGUAAAAUAUGACAUAUUAUUUCCUAACCAUUCACAAUGCUGGCUGAGGUACGAGUAAAAUAUGACAUAUUAUUUCCUAACUGUAAAAAACUCCCCACUCCUUAAUCAACUAGUAUCUCACUGUUUAACCAGAAUAACAUGAGUUGUGUCCUUCAAACUGUUAGACUGUUAGUCCAUAAUCAUAUUCAGCUACUUAGAUGUCAUGUAUUGUCAUGUUAUGUUCUCUAUAAUGAAACAUCACCAAGUGAAAUAAAGUUGACAAGAUACUCUUAAUAGACAUUAAAUAAAAAAUGGUUGUUAAGAAAUCAUUAAUUAUCAUGUUGCUCCCUGCUGAUGCGCUCCCUGACCUUAGGUCUUACUUGGCAGGAACUAAUGGAGAUCCAUCAUAAACCCCAGGAAGAGUAGCUGCUGCCUUGGCAGGAACACAGUCAUGUGAUAUGUGGUAUAGAAAAGUCCAAUCUUAGGAGUGUACAUGGGAGGCAGUAUACUGUAUAUCUGCAGGUGUUGAUCUGGUCAAAACCACCGAUACAGUUGCCCCUCCACGCUCUGGUGGUAUGGAUCAUGUCUACAGAGAAACCUAGAUUCAAAUAUUUAGUUUUGUGUGUAUUGGAUAUAUGUUGUGAAAUUGUUAGAUAUUACUUGUUAGACAUUACUGCACCGUCGGAGCUAGGAACACAAGCAUUUCACUACAUCUGCUAAACACGUGUAUGUGACCAAUAAAAUGUGAUUUUGAUUUGAAAUAAAUGUCCUAUUUAUCAAAGGUGCUAUUGGCUGGGGUCAAUAUUACUCCAAAGGAUUUUAAUUUGUUAAAAGUCCAUUUUGAUACAGAAACCCUAAACCAUGAUUUAGAUUUAUUCAGAACAAGUUGAUUGACAAAGUCAUGAAAAAUUGAAUAAACCACAUUUAGGCUAUGAUUAAAGAUGUGCCUCUGGAGUCAAAAUGAUCCAUUUCAGAAGUAUGGUUCAAUGAAAAUAUGUAGUGGGUGUAAAGUUUGUUUUAAAUUCUCACUC